ACACUACAGACCUGUGAGUGGGCUCUAACACUACAGACCUGUGAGUGGGCUCUAACACUGACAGACCUGUGAGUGGACUCCAUGACUGACAGACCUGUGAGUGGACUCCAUGACUGACAGACCUGUGAGUGGACUCCAUGACUGACAGACCUGUGAGUGGACUCUAACACUACAGACCUGUGAGUGGGCUCUAACACUACAGACCUGUGAGUGGACUCCAUGACUGACAGACCUGUGAGUGGACUCCAUGACUGACCAGAGGCCUCCCUCAGCUUCCAGGUUUGGGACACCCUGCCACCGGGCACACUGUGCACCAUCCAGGACAGCGCCUUAGUGGCCCGAGGGCCCGGAAGGGCUUCUGGACUACCCUCACCCCCAUACCCUUUGCAAAUGCUCCUCGCUGCACCCAGAACCUCCCUGGUGGGGACCUACAGUUACACAGAUAAGCCAAGCUUCCCUGGUGGUGUGGUGGUGGUGUGUGUGAACCUGCCAGGCCAUGCUGUCAUCCUGAGCCAGGGGCCAGCUCUAUGGAGGGUCAUCAACUCUUGGACUGGAGACCCAACUCUGCAGAGGCUGGAAACAAAGGCUCCAAGUCCUUGAAAGUCUGAGAAGAAGUCGUGGGCUGGGAAUGAACACCGUGGCAUGUUCUGUGGAGGCCCCACCCACUCCAUUUUUGCUGUAUGCUCACCUUUGUCACCUGUGGCUGGCAACGUCUUUUAGUUCAGCUUGGGGGAUUGCCUUAUUUUAACAUGUGGGAUGAAAGUCCCUUAUGGGAACCCCUCCCUUAAAGGACUGGCAAAAACCA